rnacentral:rRNA from 1 species
GAGUUUGAUCAUGGCUCAGAUUGAACGCUGGCGGCAGGCUUAACACAUGCAAGUCGAACGGAAGUUACUAGCUUGCUAGUAACUUUAGUGGCGAACGGGUGAGUAACAUUUAGGAAUCUGCCUCAUAACGGGGGAUAGCUCGGGGAAACUCGAAUUAAUACCGCAUACACCCUACGGGGGAAAGGUGGCGCAAGCUGCCGAUAUGAGAUGAGCCUAAAUCAGAUUAGCUAGAUGGUGGGGUAAAGGCCUACCAUGGCGACGAUCUGUAACUGGUCUGAGAGGAUGAUCAGUCACACCGGAACUGAGACACGGUCCGGACUCCUACGGGAGGCAGCAGUGGGGAAUAUUGGACAAUGGGCGAAAGCCUGAUCCAGCCAUGCCGCGUGUGUGAAGAAGGCCAUAAGGUUGUAAAGCACUUUAAGCAGGGAGGAAGAACUUUUAGUUAAUAGCUAAAAGUG